rfam:Hafnia alvei FB1, complete genome.
AUGGCGUCUGAACUCCUAGCCCUUUUACCUAAGUUUAGUCGAAAACAGCUGUUUUCCACUCGAUACGGUGUCUGGGCCGUGGCUAUAAGCCACCAGGGUACAAGGUAGAAAUGCCUGUGCCUCCCGAAUUGGAAAGGUGUUAACAAUGCUCCAAC